AUUGAACGCUGGCGGCAGGCUUAACACAUGCAAGUCGAGCGGAGAUGAGGUGCUUGCACCUUAUCUUAGCGGCGGACGGGUGAGUAAUGCUUAGGAAUCUGCCUAUUAGUGGGGGACAACAUUCCGAAAGGAAUGCUAAUACCGCAUACGUCCUACGGGAGAAAGCAGGGGAUCUUCGGACCUUGCGCUAAUAGAUGAGCCUAAGUCGGAUUAGCUAGGUGGUGGGGUAAAGGCCGACCAAGGCGACGAUCUGUAGCGGGUCUGAGAGGAUGAUCCGCCACACUGGGACUGAGACACGGCCCAGACUCCUACGGGAGGCAGCAGUGGGGAAUAUUGGACAAUGGGGGGAACCCUGAUCCAGCCAUGCCGCGUGUGUGAAGAAGGCCUUAUGGUUGUAAAGCACUUUAAGCGAGGAGGAGGCUACUGAGACUAAUACUCUUGGAUAGUGGACGUUACUCGCAGAAUAAGCACCGGCUAACUCUGUGCCAGCAGCCGCAGUAACAC
rnacentral:rRNA from 1 species